rnacentral:rRNA from 1 species
AACGAACGCUGGCGGCAUGCCUAACACAUGCAAGUCGAACGAGACCUUCGGGUCUAGUGGCGCACGGGUGCGUAAGGCGUGGGAACCUGCCCUUAGGUUCGGAAUAACUCCCCGAAAGGGGUGCUAAUACCGGAUAAUGUCUUCGGCCCAAAGAUUUAUCGCCUUUGGUUGGUCCCGCGUUGGAUUAGCUAGUUGGUAGGGUAAAAGCCUACCAAGGCGACGAUCCAUAGCUGGUCUGAGAGGAUGAUCAGCCACACUGGGACUGAGACACGGCCCAGACUCCUACGGGAGGCAGCAGUGGGGAAUAUUGGACAGUGGGCGAAAGCCUGAUCCAGCAAUGCCGCGUGAGUGAUGAAGGCCUUAGGGUUGUAAAGCUCUUUUACCCGGGAUGAUAAUGACAGUACCGGGAGAAUAAGCUCCGGCUAACUCCGUG